rnacentral:rRNA from 1 species
UACGUAGGGUGCGAGCGUUGUCCGGAAUUACUGGGCGUAAAGGGCUCGUAGGUGGUUUGUCGCGUUGUUCGUGAAAACCGGGGGCUUAACCCUCGGCGUGCGGGCGAUACGGGCAGACUUGAGUACUGCAGGGGAGACUGGAAUUCCUGGUGUAGCGGUGGAAUGCGCAGAUAUCAGGAAGAACACCGGUGGCGAAGGCGGCUCUCUGGGCCUUACCUGACGCUGAGGAGCGAAAGCGUGGGUAGCGAACAGG